AAUAUUGGACAAUGGGGGCAACCCUGAUCCAGCCAUGCCGCGGGUGUGAAGAAGGUCUUCGGUCUGUAAAGCACUUUAAGUAGGGAGGAAGGGCUUUAGGUUAAUACCCUGAAGUUUUGACGUUACCACCAGAAUCAGCACCUGCUAACUCUGAAACAGCAGCCGCGGUAAUACAGAGGGUGCAAGCGUUAAUCGGAAUUACUGGGCGUAAAGCGCGCGUAGGUGGUUCAGUAAGAUGGGUGUGAAAUCCCCGGGCUUAACCUGGGAACUGCUUUCAUAACUGCUGAGCUAGAGUACGGUAGAGGGUAGUGGAAUUUCCUGUAUAGCGGUGAAAUGCGUAGAUAUAGGAAGGAACCCCAGUGGCGAAGGCGACUACCUGGACUGAUACUGACACUGAGGUGCGAAAGCGUGGGGAGCAAAC
rnacentral:rRNA from 1 species